UACAGAGGGGGCAAGCGUUGUUCGGAAUUACUGGGCGUAAAGGGCGCGUAGGUGGCCUUCUAAGUCAUGCGUGAAAUCCCCGGGCUCAACCCGGGAACUGCGUCUGAUACUGGAAGGCUUGAAUCCGGGAGAGGGAUGCGGAAUUCCAGGUGUAGCGGUGAAAUGCGUAGAUAUCUGGAGGAACACCGGUGGCGAAGGCGGCAUCCUGGACCGGCAUUGACGCUGAGGCGCGAAAGCCAGGGGAGCAAACGGG
rnacentral:rRNA from 1 species